UGGUUUAGGUUGGAAAGGAGCUUAAAGCUCAUCCAGUUCCAACCCCUGCCACGGCCAGGGACACCUUCCACUAGAGCAGCUUGCUCCAAGCCCCUGUGUCCAACCUGGCCUUGAACACUGCCAGGGAUGGGGCAGCCACAGCUUCUCUGGGCACCCUGUGCUCAUCUGGUUUAUUAACCUCCAUGUUUCAAGCAGCUUUGCUACUAAGAGAAGUGUCCUUUGAUGGGACACUGCUUGGGAACUUCAGUUCACUUUGGUCUAGACAUAAAAGAAAAAAAUCAUAAGAUUGACUUAAAAUGAGUCUUUGCUUUUAUAAAUAUCACACUGGGGGGAUAAUUCACCUGCUCAGGCCACAGGACUCCAGAAUCAUGUUUCCAAAUGUCCUUCCAGCAACUUCAUACUAUUAAAAAGUGCAUAAUGACAUAAACACGCCACACAACAGCAACAGGAAAACAUCACUGAGGAUACAUAAAUUGAAGCACUCGUAAUGUAGAAAAAAAGCCUCAAGUCAGGUGCCUGCUCUUUCUCCAGAGCUGCUGUGCAUAAUAAUACCCCAUUAAGCCAUAUAAAUGCUUAUUUAACUGUUUUUUUUCCCUGACACAGCUGCUUUGCUGAGUGCCCAGAGUGGAUGAUGCUCAAUAAUGCUCAGUAUUAUCCUCAUCCAUCAGCACUCAGCCAGAGCCUUAUUUGUCAUCCAAGCAUUGCUCUAGAACCAGAAGCUUCUCCUAUUACCCCCAGUGCUGUAGCCAGGCUGAUAACACUGGGGCUGUUCAGGCUGGAGAAGAGAAGCUGUGUGGAGACCUCAGAGCAGCUUCCAGUGUCUGAAGGGGGCUACAAGGAUGCUGGAGAGGGGCUCUUCAUCAGGGACUGUAGCCAUAGGACAAGGGGUGAUGGGUUCAAACUGAAACAGGGGGAGUUCAGGUUGGAGAUAAGGCAGAAGCUCUUCCCUGUGAGGGUGGCAAGGUGCUGAGUUGGAACUGGAUGAACUUUAAGGUCCCUUCCAACCCAAACCAGUCUGGGAUUCUAUGGGUCAGGCAGCCCUCAAACCCACAGUUCCCAGGAUCUUCCAGAAGGGAUGAGAGGGGCAGAGCCAUGAGCUGUGAGGUUUGGCUGCAGCAUCUGGCAAGGCAGCAGGAGCCCAACCAGCCAUGGAGCUCCUGCAGCAGGUCCCCAGUGUGGUAGGAACAUUGGAAAGAUCCUUUUGUAACAGAUCAGCACCAAAACAGCCCCAUUCUGGAGGAAAGCUUCAUCCUUGCACAAUGCUUUACCACAGGAAAGGGCUGAUGCACCGAUUGCACUCAGAUCUACAGCAGAGCAGCACCAUUGCUGCAGCAUGGCCCUGGGUUGGAGAAACAAGAUGUUUGCAGUAAAGUCUUCCAGUCUCUUGAAAUACCUGGAAACUCAUGGUAUUCUACAAGAGAAAAUGGAACCCUGGCUAUGAGCUACUCUACGGUUAAUGACAUUUGAACAUCCAGAGUCUUACACUCUGGAGGACAACCCUGCUUAGAAUGCAAUAUGUCAACUCAAAGAGUGAAGUCAUCUGGAUCUCCGUUCUUCCAGCGCUCAACAGACCUUCUUUCUUUCCCAAAAUGCCUCCUUUUUUCCAUAACAGAUAUAAAACAAUCCCUGUAGGGAAGAGAGAUUCCCUGGGACCAUCCCUCAUACAGACAACCCUGUGAGCAUCAGGGCAGGGGCUGCUCUCCCUUCUGCACUGCACUGCCAGAGGCCUUUGCUUCUGUCAAAUAGAACAGGAAUGAAUUCAUUCCCUUUCCUCCAGAAACGUGCUCCUGACCCCUUUUUAUUAUCCUUAAGCAUUUACUUCUCCUUAGCCAACCACCAGGCUUCCCAACUUCCUGCAUCCUCUCAGCCUCACUUGAAAGCAUCUUCUCCCUCCCCCUUUUCUUUGUCCAUCCAAACUUCCCUUCCACUUCCUCUCCCCUUGCCCCAAAGCCCAAACAAACCCACAUUCUUGUCCCCGAAUAGAGGCUGAUUCAUGGCUUUGCGUCAGCACCCACUCUGCUGGCCAGACCCAGCUCUAAUGGACACGGCUCAGCUGCUGCCAGGCACGAUGUGACAACAUCUGGAAAGCGUCAGGGCCGGUGUGAGGCAGCAGGGAACGUGCAGAGCCAGAAAGGGAGAUCCUGGAUUCAGUUAUUCCUUAGGGUUCAACCACACACAAACCAAUGCAGUCAAACAAGAGGAGAGAUGGGUGUUACAAAAGGUCUUGGCUCAGGCUUUGGGUUUAAUCUAGAACGUUGGAUGGAGGAAAACAGGCAGGUUUAGGAGUACUUUCAGGGCAAGGCGUUCAUCCAGCACUGUUCCCAUCUCAACAGCUCCAUGGAUCUGCUCUGCACUAACAAUGAUACUGCUCUUCCAUCAAAAAUCAUCAGUCAACAUGAGGCAAACCUGAGAGUUCUGGAGAGCCAGGACCAGCCUGAAAGCUGUAUCCAGACCCUGCUCCUGCUACAUCACACAGCAAAAGGAACUGGGUGCUUGGACCCCAAACCAAAGCAAUUGAAACCUGGGGUCUUUGCAUGUUUAAUAAGGACUGCAUCUGAGGUUCAGACAGCGAAUCCUGACCUCCUGAAGCAGCACAUUCUCUAGCCAUACCAGAGCACCCUGCACUGCCGCACCAGGCAGAGUAAUCCCAGCUCAGGCCAGGGUCCUGGAGAGCAGAUGGAGCUUUUGGAAGCUGCUGGCUCAGCAAAGCCAGUAGCAGAUUCAGCUAAAGCCUUAACCUGCCUGCCCCAAACAGCUUUUAGCACACACUGAGAGCUGUGAAGGUGCAAGAGAGAAGCUUAUGAUUUGUACACAGAAUAGAGGGAAGUUUAUUCAUAUUAAAUACACUUUACUUGCA